UCCAGGUAGAUUUCUGUUUACGUGAAGCUGUUCUGUAUGAACCUUCUCUUCCUCUUCAUUCUCUGAAAAUUUCUUACUCAUUAUUUGAUUUUCCAAAUCAGGAAGCCUCCACAGGCAACUUCUAGGGAGCCUUGGUGGCGCAGUGGUUAGAGUGCAGUACUGCAAGCUAC